rnacentral:tRNA from 1 species
CAGCUGCUCAGUACGGAGUUCAACGCCACGCACGUCGGCGCGGAUGUCCUGGCGUUCGAAGACGCGGUGGUGCGAAUCUACAAGUAGGUGGCCA